GUCGGAGUAGCUUAAUUAAAGCAUGACACUGAAGAUGUUAAGACGGGCUUUAAUUCGGCCCCUUCGACA
rnacentral:tRNA from 1 species